rnacentral:rRNA from 1 species
GUGGGGAAUAUUGGACAAUGGGCGCAAGCCUGAUCCAGCAAUGCCGCGUGGGUGAAGAAGGUCUUCGGAUCGUAAAGCCCUUUCGACAGGGACGAUGAUGACGGUACCUGUAGAAGAAGCCCCGGCUAACUUCGUGCCAGCAGCCGCGGUAAUACGAAGGGGGCUAGCGUUACUCGGAAUUACUGGGCGUAAAGGGCGCGUAGGCGGCUCUGUUAGUCAGGCGUGAAAGUCAUGGGCUUAACCUGGGGACUGCGAUUGAUACUGCAGGGCUUGAGGCCGAGAGAGGGUGGUGGAAUGCCCAGUGUAGAGGUGAAAUUCGUAGAUAUUGGGAAGAACACCGGUGGCGAAGGCGACCACCUGGCUCGGUUCUGACGCUGAGGCGCGACAGCGUGGGGAGCAAACAGGAUUAGAAACCCCGGUAGUCC